rnacentral:lncRNA from 1 species
GGUGGCUAGUAUAUGGUGUGUCAUGAGCCUCGCUCAUUAUCUCAUCUUUGAGUUUCUCUUAGUGUGGGAUACACAAUCUUUCUUCAAUCAUUAACGCAGCAUCCGACGUCUAGUGGUAACGUCCAGGCUUGCCUAUUCCUAUUGAUAAAUGUAUUCUCUCCAAGGUCUCAUCAUUUCUUUGCGCUUCUUUAUUUUUUUUUUUUAAUUUGGGUGUUACUACCAUCGUGACAAUAAUCCAUUCUACUGAUUCUUGUGGUCAUCAACAACUUCUAAACUUUAUUCUACAAAAAUCUUUCAUGAGUUCCUCCUCUUGGGUGAGGAGAGAUCCCAACUUAAAUUGAGUUUUAUAACUCAAGUUAUCAGCUACAAUAUUAACUUCGCCCGGUUGGCAGUUAAUACUACAUUCCUAGUCUUUAAUUGGUUCUAGUCAUCUUCUCUGUCUCAUGUUAAGAUCCC